rnacentral:snRNA from 1 species
GGAUGGGAGAGCCAUCUGGCUGCAACAUCUGUCACCCCACGCAUCGCCAGGGUCGAUUCUUCGGCGGAUCUGGCUGGCUCGGCAGGUGUCCCCUUCCUCCCUCACGGCUCCAUGUGCGACCCUCCCAAAGCUGCACGCUCGGUGGAAGAGGACAACCUCCCCCGAGAGGGGAGGACCGCUCUUCCGUCAAGGGUAUACAAGCAGCUGUGCUCCCCUGCUAGAACCUCCAAACAAUCUCCCAAGAUGAGAAGAGUUUUAGACUUCGCAGGGAGGGGACAUUCACAGGCACUUAACACCAGGAAAUGGAGCAUAAAUGUCAGAUCAUGGCUUGCUACACAAAUGCCCUUGACUUU